rnacentral:rRNA from 1 species
CACACCGCCCGUCGCUACUACCGAUUGAAUGGCUCAGUGAGGCUUUCGGACUGGCCUAGGGAGGUCGGCAACGACCACCCAGGGCCGGAAAGUUAUCCAAACUCGGUCAUUUAGAGGAAGUAAAAGUCGUAACAAGGUCUCCGUUGGUGAACCAGCGGAGGGAUCAUUAUAGAGUUAUAAAACUCCCAACCCAUGUGAACUUACCAUUGUUGCCUCGGCGGAGCCUACCCGGAAGGACCUACCCGGAACGAGUUACCUUGUAGCGAGUUUCCCGGAACGGCCUACCCUGUAGCGGUCCGCCGGUGGAUUUUUAAACUAUUGUUAUUUUAUGUUAUCUGAGCGUCUUAUUUAAUAAGUUAAAACUUUCAACAACGGAUCUCUUGGUUCUGGCAUCGAUGAAGAACGCAGCGAAAUGCGAUAAGUAAUGUGAAUUGCAGAAUUCAGUGAAUCAUCGAAUCUUUGAACGCACAUUGCGCCCAUUAGUAUUCUAUUGGGCAUGCCUGUUCGAGCGUCAUUUCAACCCUUAAGCCUAGCUUAGUGUUGGGAAUCUACUGUCCGGGUGGAGCUACCCUGUAGCGCCUACCCUGUAGUUCCUGAAAACCAACGGCGGACUUGCAGUGUCCUCUGAGCGUAGUAAUUAUUAUCUCGCUUCUGUUAGGUGCUGUAAUUCUAGCCGCUAAACCCUUAAUUUCUAAUGGUUGACCUCGGAUCAGGUAGGAAUACCCGCUGAACUUAAGCAUAUCAAUAAGCGGAGGAAAAGAAACCAACAGGGAUUGCCCUAGUAACGGCGAGUGAAGCGGCAACAGCUCAAAUUUGAAAUCUGGCCCUCGGGUCCGAAUUGUAAUUUGUAGAGGAUGCUUUUGGUUAGGUACCUUCCGAGUUCCCUGGAACGGGACGCCUUAGAGGGUGAGAGCCCCGUACGGUUGGAUACCGAGCCUCUGUAAAGCUCCUUCGACGAGUCGAGUAGUUUGGGAAUGCUGCUCUAAAUGGGAGGUAAAUUUCUUCUAAAGCUAAAUACUGGCCAGAGACCGAUAGCGCACAAGUAGAGUGAUCGAAAGAUGAAAAGUACUUUGAAAAGAGGGUUAAACAGCACGUGAAAUUGUUGAAAGGGAAGCGUUUAUGACCAGACUUUUUCUAGGCGGAUCAUCCGGUGUUCUCACCGGUGCACUUUGUCUAGUUUAGGCCAGCAUCGGUUUCUGUAGGGGGAUAAAAUUAGCAGGAAUGUGGCUCCUUCGGGAGUGUUAUAGCCUGUUAAAUAAUACCUUUACGGGGACCGAGGUUCGCGCUCUGCAAGGAUGCUGGCGUAAUGGUCAUCAACGACCCGUCUUGAAACACGGACCAAGGAGUCGAACAUUUGUGCGAGUGUUUGGGUGUUAAACCCUCACGCGUAAUGAAAGUGAACGGAGGUGAGAGCCCUUACGGGUGCAUCAUCGACCGAUCCUGAAGUUUACGGAUGGAUUUGAGUAAGAGCAUAACUGUUCGGACCCGAAAGAUGGUGAACUAUGCGUGGAUAGGGUGAAGCCAGAGGAAACUCUGGUGGAGGCUCGCAGCGGUUCUGACGUGCAAAUCGAUCGUCAAAUCUGCGCAUGGGGGCGAAAGACUAAUCGAACCAUUGAAACCAGCGGUAAAUUUAACUUACUAGGUGGUUAAGAGGAGUCUCGAGAGAGAUUCGAACCUAGGUUGGGGGGGGGCCUAGCCGGAACGAGCUAUCCAAAGCGAGUUACCCGGAGCGACCUACCCGGACCGACAUCACUAAAUUGCGGGGACGUCCUUUUUAAGCUUCAGGCUACCGCAGGGCACUGAAAAGUGCUUCUGCACCAAGAUUAGCGGUCUUGGGUAUGGUAAAAACGCCUGAAAGCUGGGAUCACCUGCAGCCAACCCCGUCCAGGGGAGAGUUCACAGACUAGACAGUGGUGGGUCGGCACUCGUGCUGGCUUAAGAUAUAGUCGACCGAGGCCCUGAAAAGGUGCCCGUAGCUA